UACGGAGGGUGCAAGCGUUAUCCGGAUUCACUGGGUUUAAAGGGUGCGUAGGCGGGCUUGCCAGUCAGGGGUGAAAUCCUCCGGCUCAACCGGAGCAGGGCCUUUGAUACUGCAAGUCUUGAGGGAGGUAGGGGCAUGUGGAACUUCCGGUGGAGCGGUGAAAUGCGUAGAUAUCAGGAGGAACACCGGUGGUGUAGACGGCUAUCUGGACCGUAACUGACGCUGAGGCACGAAAGCGUGGGUAGCAAACAGG
rnacentral:rRNA from 1 species